rnacentral:rRNA from 1 species
GGUGGAGCGAUUUGUCUGGUUAAUUCCGAUAACGAACGAGACUCUAGCCUGCUAAAUAGUUCGUCGAUGGCACUCUGUCGGCGCUAACUUCUUAGAGGGACAAGUGGCGUUCAGUCACACGAGAUUGAGCAAUAACAGGUCUGUGAUGCCCUUAGAUGUUCGGGGCCGCACGCGCGCUACACUGGAGGAAUCAGCGUGCUGUAACCAUUGCCGAAAGGUAUUGGUAACCCCUUGAAAAUCCUCCGUGAUCGGGAUCGGGAAUUGCAAUUAUUUCCCUUGAACGAGGAAUUCCUAGUAAGUGUGAGUCAUCAGCUCACGUUGAUUACGUCCCUGCCCUUUGUAC